rnacentral:rRNA from 1 species
UACCCAGUGGCGAAGGCGGCCCCCUGGACAGAUACUGACACUCAGAUGCGAAAGCGUGGGGAGCAAACAGGAUAAGAUACCCUGGUAGUCCACGCCGUAAACGAUGUCUACUUGGAGGUUGUGGCCUUGAGCCGUGGCUUUCGGAGCUAACGCGUUAAGUAGACCGCCUGGGGAGUACGGUCGCAAGAUUAAAACUCAAAUGAAUUGACGGGGGCCCGCACAAGCGGUGGAGCAUGUGGUUUAAUUCGAUGCAACGCGAAGAACCUUACCUACUCUUGACAUCCAGAGAACUUGCUAGAGAUAGCUUGGUGCCUUCGGGAACUCUGAGACAGGUGCUGCAUGGCUGUCGUCAGCUCGUGUUGUGAAAUGUUGGGUUAAGUCCCGCAACGAGCGCAACCCUUAUCCUUGUUUGCCAGCACGUAAUGGUGGGAACUCCAGGGAGACUGCCGGUGAUAAACCGGAGGAAGGUGGGGACGACGUCAAGUCAUCAUGGCCCUUACGAGUAGGGCUACACACGUGCUACAAUGGCGCAUACAGAGGGCAGCCAACCAGCGAUGGUGAGCGAAUCCCAAAAAGUGCGUCGUAGUCCGGAUUGGAGUCUGCAACUCGACUCCAUGAAGUCGGAAUCGCUAGUAAUCGUGAAUCAGAAUGUCACGGUGAAUACGUUCCCGGGCCUUGUACACA